AUAUGGCUCAGGAUGAACGCUAGCUACAGGCUUAACACAUGCAAGUCGAGGGGCAGCAUGGUCUUAGCUUGCUAAGGCCGAUGGCGACCGGCGCACGGGUGAGUAACGCGUAUCCAACCUGCCUUACACUCUUGGACAGCCUUCUGAAAGGGAGAUUAAUACAAGAUGUUAUCAUGAGUAAGCAUUUUCGCAUGAUUAAAGGUUUACCGGUGUAAGAUGGGGAUGCGUUCCAUUAG
rnacentral:rRNA from 1 species